rnacentral:rRNA from 1 species
GUCUGUUUGAAGGUAUAAAAAGUUUAACCUGCCCACUGAUUAAUAUUAAUUAAAUGGCCGCCGGUAUUUUGACCGUGCAAAGGUAGCAUAAUCGUUAGUUUUUUAAUUGGAAUCUUGUAUGAAUGGUUGGACAAAAGAAAAUCUGUCUCUUUAUUAUUUAUUGAAUUUAACUUUUAAGUGAAAAGGCUUAAGUGAAUUAAAAAGACGAUAAGACCCUAUAAAACUUGAUAUUAAUAUUUUAUUUAGUUGAAUUUUUUUAAUAAAAACUUAGUAGUUUAAUUUAUUUUAUUGGGGCGAUAAAAGUAAAAUUAUUGGUAACUGCUUAAUAUUUAAAUACAUUUAUAGGUGAUUGAAUUUUUAAAUGAUCCUUAAUAAAGAUUAAGAGUUUAAGUUACUUUAGGGAUAACAGCGUUAUUUUUUUUGAGAGUACUUAUCGAAAAGAAAGUUUGCGACCUCGAUGUUGAAUUAAAAUAUCUUUAUGAUUGCAGCAGUUAUAAAAGUAGGUCUGUUCGACCUUUAAAAAUUUUACUGAAUUUGAGUUCAAACCGGCGUGAG